rnacentral:rRNA from 1 species
UACGUAGGGUGCAAGCGUUGUCCGGAAUUAUUGGGCGUAAAGAGCUCGUAGGCGGUUUGUCGCGUCUGCUGUGAAAACCGGAGGCUCAACCUCCGGCCUGCAGUGGGUACGGGCAAACUAGAGUGCGGUAGGGGAGAUUGGAAUUCCUGGUGUAGCGGUGGAAUGCGUAGAUAUCAGGAGGAACACCGGUGGUGCAGACGGCUCUCUGGACCGUAACUGACGCUGAGACACGAAAGCGUGGGUAGCAAACAGG